rnacentral:tRNA from 1 species
ACCUGGUUAACUCAGCUGGUUAGAGUGUCGUACUAAUACAGAGUCUUCUUCUCCUGUAUCCUGUCAUGCGAAAGUCGGCGGUUCAAUCCCGCCACUGGGUA